ACAGCAUGAAACUAUAGCAAGCACAAAAUGGUUACGAGGUUGGUCUCAAGGACCAAGCCCAUGCUGAAAGAGUUAACUAAUUAUUUUAUAUCCUAUGUUUUGACUGAUAAUCUGCUGCCGUCCUCAAAGAAGUCCUUUCAAGGACUGUAGGUAAAUGCAGUAGAUUUGACUCAAUACUUGGUUUUAUUGUUAGAAAAGCAAGUGUUCUGUGAACUCAUUGUGCUGUUAUUACAUUUGGAAUUUGAUCAGUUGGUUAUGUGACUUGUUUCAGAAGGGUUAUUGAGGUUUCAUGUUUUGCUGACUACUGUGAUAGAUUUACUGAGUGUGUGUUAUCAGUAAGGUAAAUGUAGAAGGCUUCUUUUAUAUUUAUUUUCUUCAUGUGUUGUUCAUAUCCAUUAUUUUAGUGUUAUUACAUUUUAUUGUAUGAUCUCUUACAUGACAGGCAUUUACAGAUAGCACUGAUUAAAUUGUUGACUUUAUUAUAUUUCUAAGUGUCAUAAUAAAUAAUUAUAUGAUAAGAUACGACUAUUUUAUCAGAUAUACAUCUUUUUUAGAAUGCACUGUGCAUUUUACCUAAUUAAUAUUACAUUAAAAUACUCAUUAUUGCUACCAAAUGUAAAAUCUAGUUUGAGAGCCUGGCUAAUUUAAUAACUUUGAAGUUGUAUGGAUAUAACAAAAAUGCUAUCUUAAAACAAUGUAGUUCUGUAUGGGAUAUAAAAACUCUCUGAAAAAUGACUUAUUAGUAAAAAAAGAGUUACUACAUUCUAAAGAUAAUACAUGCAAUGGUAAAAUUUUCAAAUAUUGUUAACAAAUCAUGCAAAAUGGUUGAUAUAUAUGCUCAUUGUAGAGACAAACUAAAUAGUUAUUUAUCAGAGUUUUGUUUAAGGUAAUGUAAAGAAAAUGUUUCCAUUAUUUGCUGCAAUUUUUUUUAACAUGAAAAUGUGAUGAGUGUGAUUUCAGAUAAUAUUAGAAUUGCUUAGAAGAAAAACUGCUGUUCUUAUGCAGAUUAGUUGUAAAACAUUCAGUCACUGUUCUUUUUAACGCCUCUUUCU